AUGAACGCUGGCGGCGUGCCUAAUACAUGCAAGUCGCGCGAACGGACGAGAAGCUUGCUUCUCUGAUGUUAGCGGCGGACGGGUGAGUAACACGUGGAUAACCUACCUAUAAGACUGGGAUAACUUCGGGAAACCGUAGCUAAUACCGGAUAAUAUUUUGAACCGCAUGGUUCAAAAGUGAAAGACGGUCUUGCUGUCACUUAUAGAUGGAUCCGCGCUGCAUUAGCUAGUUGGUAAGGUAACGGCUUACCAAGGCAACGAUGCAUAGCCGACCUGAGAGGGUGAUCGGCCACACUGGAACUGAGACACGGUCCAGACUCCUACGGGAAGCAGCAGUAGGGAAUCUUCCGCAAUGGGCGAAAGCCUGACGGAGCAACGCCGCGUGAGUGAUGAAGGUCUUCGGAUCGUAAAACUCUGUUAUUAGGGAAGAACAUAUGUGUAAGUAACUGUGCACAUCUUGACGGUACCUAAUCAGAAAGCCACGGCUAACUACGUG
rnacentral:rRNA from 1 species